CGCGAAACCUUUACACUGCACGACAGUGCGAUAGGGGAACUCCGAGUGCGAGGGCAUAGAGCCCUCGCUUUUCUGCACCGUAAGGUGGUGCAGGAACAAGUGCUGGGCAAGACCGGUGCCAGCCGCCGCGGUAAUACCGGCAGCACGAGUGAUGGCCGAUCUUAUUGGGCCUAAAGCGUCCGUAGCUGGCCGUGCAAGUCCGUCGGGAAAUCCAGUGGCUCAACCUCUGGGCUUCCGGCGGAAACUGCUCGGCUUGGGACCGGAAGACUCGAGGGGUACGUUCGGGGUAGGAGUGAAAUCCCGUAAUCCUGAACGGACCACCGAUGGCGAAAGCACCUCGAGAGCACGGAUCCGACAGUGAGGGACGAAAGCUAGGGUCUCGAACCGGAUUAGAUACCCGGGUAGUCCUAGCUGUUAACGAUGCCCGCUCGGUUCGGCGCAGGCUACGAGCCUGUGCCGCGCCUCAGUGAAGACGUAAGCGGGCCGCCUGGGAAGUACGUCCGCAAGGAUGAAACUUAAAGGAAUUGGCGAGGGAGCACUACAACCGGAGGAGCCUGCGGUUUAAUUG
rnacentral:rRNA from 1 species